UACCUGCAGCUCAAGUGGUGACCGCUAUUAUUGGGCCUAAAACGUUCGUAGCCGGUUUGGUAAAUGCCUGGGUAAAUCGUGUAGCUUAACUAUACGAAUUCCGGGUAGACUGCUAAACUUGAGACCGGGAGAAGCUAGAGGUACUCCUGGGGUAGAGGUGAAAUUCUGUAAUCCUGGGGGGACCACCAGUGGCGAAGGCGUCUAGCUAGAACGGGUCUGACGGUGAGGAACGAAGCCCUGGGGCGCAAACCGGAUUAGAUACCCGGGUAGUCCAGGGUGUAAACGCUGCUUGCUUGAUGUUAGUUGGGCUCCGAGCCCAAUUAGUGUCGGAGAGAAGUUGUUAAGCAAGCUGCCUGGGAAGUACGAUCGCAAGAUUGAAACUUAAAGGAAUUGGCGGGGGAGCACAGCAACGGGUGGAGCGUGCGGUUU
rnacentral:rRNA from 1 species